rnacentral:lncRNA from 1 species
UUUGAUUCUGAUUCAAGACCAGGUCUUGUGUUGGCCUGUUUCAUAUUUUUUUGUUUUUUUGUUUAUUUGAAUUUUGAAUUUUAGUUAUUCUUCUUUUGUUUUUAUAUAUAUCAUCUUGAAUGAUUUGUUCAUAAACUAUUCUUCCAAUCUUGGAUGGAAGAAUAGUUGUAGAAAAUUGGGUGAAAUACUUCAUUUCUGAGAACAUGUGAUAGCUUCAUUUACUUUUGGGUGAAAUACUUCAUUUCUGAAAAAAGAAACCAUUAUAUUUUUUCCGGCAGAUAUUUCUUUUUCACGUCGAAUUCUAUCGGCAGCGGCGACGUUAAAUCCCUAAUCUCGGCAGCGAUAUUUCUUUCUAAAUCCCUGUACUUCACAAACCGAUCUCCACUCCGGCACUCCCAUCCUACACGGUAAUGUGUAUUCUAUUCUUAUUUUCUUUUAGUUUAGUUUGGGACAAAAAUAGAUCUGUUAAAUCCACGAUUUGUUCAUUUGUUUGUCCACGAUUUGUUUGAUCCCUAAAAAAUAUAUUGAAUCCCUAAAAAAAUUCUUUGUUUCUAUUUUCAUCAAAAUCAGUUCAUUUGUUUCUAUUUUAAUUUCUCUUCAUUUUUUUUUGUUUCUUGCAUUGUAACCCUAUUUCAAAUCCCUGUUUUCUAAAAUUCUGUUAUAUCAUGUUAUGAAUUUAAUAUAGCUGCUUCAAACUUCUUCAUUAAAUUUAUGAUGAUGGUAUGUUUAAUUCGAGUUUGCGAUUUCAAAAUAAAUGAAUGUUUACGAUUUAUAAACUCUUAGUUUCUAUCGACUAUCAUAUGAUUCACAUCGUGUUUAAUUUUAUAGUUUUAUAGUGUUAUAUUAUGCUAGAUUUUAUAUUAUUUAGAAAUGUUUAGUUAGAGUUAGUUAUUUUUGUAUAAGUUUUUUGAAUACUUAUUUGAAUACCUUUUUCAUUUAAAUAUUGAUUUUUAAGAGGUUUCUUUUUAUUUGUAUGUUAGGAGAUAAACUAAAAUGACUGAUCAAAUAGAAGGGUUCGACAAAUCAUGGUUGUUUGAAAGUUCAACCUCGAUGAAAUUUCAAAGUGGAUUGAAAAGUUUUUUAGAUUUUGCUGAAAUCUAUUCAAACCACAAGAUGGAACCUGGAUUAAAACUACCAUGUCCUUGUUCAAAGUGUCACAAUGGCAAAUAUUAUAAUCGUAAGACCAUUAGUGAGCAUGUCAUACUCUUUAGUUUUGACAAUGCAUAUAGGUAUAAGACAUGGUAUAUGCAUGGAGAAUUAAUUCCAGGUUCGAGAGCACAUAAAAAAGCAUUGAAACGCAAGAGACGUG